AGCAGCCGCGGUAAUUCCAGCUCCAAUAGCGUAUAUUAAAGUUGCUGCAGUUAAAAAGCUCGUAGUUGAAUUUCGGGACUAAUAUGUUGGUCGUGCCUCGGUACGUACUGAUAUUUUUGGUUUCUCCCUUCUGACGAACCUUGAUGUCAUUAAUUUGGUGUCUUGGGAAAUCAGGACUGUUACUUUGAAAAAAUUAGAGUGUUUAAAGCAGGCUCACGCUUGAAUACAUUAGCAUGGAAUAAUGAAAUAGGACGUUUGAUUCUAUUUUGUUGGUUUCUAGGAUUGACGUAAUGAUUAAUAGGGAUAGUUGGGGGCAUUAGUAUUCAAUUGUCAGAGGUGAAAUUCUUGGAUUUAUUGAAGACUAACUACUGCGAAAGCAUUUGCCAAGGAUGUUUUCAUUAAUCAAGAACGAAAGUUAGGGGAUCGAAGACGAUCAGAUACCGUCGUAGU
rnacentral:rRNA from 1 species